AUCCUUUUGUAAUUCAUAAGCAUGAAGACUUGGUAUUUAUGUGCAUGUGUGAGAUGUGCCACCCUGGAACCUUGUUACGACGUCAUCACAUUACAGGUCUGACU
ensembl:snoRNA